AUGACGGCUAUAUUUUUGUGUAUUCUGGUUACAAUGUUUACUACGGUGGUAUGGUAUUGUGGUGGAAUCUUCAACAAAAAUGAUGAUAGUAUGGGGUAAACCAACAACGUUUGCUACUACAAUUCCAUACGUAAAUACAACAAUUGACUGGGAUGAUUGUGUCCAGCUAUGCUACAAUUUCACAAGCUGCGUUGUUGCAUUCCAAAACUCAACUGGAUGCAAUUUGUUUCCAUUUAAUAGUGUUCCAGUCAUACAGAAGACCAACUCGACAGAAGGAUCAAUUAUAGCAUUCAAAGUGGACAAUUCAGAUACUCAAUGUCCGUCUGGUACUGAUGCACCGACAUUUAACAAUCAGAAUGCUACGGGGUAUCUCUUCGUUACUGAUAAUACAGUAUGGUUUCCAACAACGGUUAAUUACACAAUCAGUUUGGCUGGAUCAAAUUGGAAAAUAUCAUAUACUUCAAUCCCUAUGUGUUCAUCGAGUUACACUAAUUUUUAUACUCUGCCCAAUGGAAAAUCAAUGUGUUUUGUGGUUUAUUAUUCAAAUUCGACACUUGGCUUAUUUCAAAAUUCAUCUCUUCAAACGUGUAAAUCCAUAAAUGGAAAUCUGCCAACAGUUACUAGUUCAGUUGAAAAUGGCGCAUUUACAUGGCUCGUUAAUCUAUAUAUUAAAUUUUUCAAGUCAAGCUCGUUCUACGUUAGAAUUGAUGGUAAGAGAACAACGGCAUGCCAAUCAACACCAAAAACAGCUGCAUGUAUGUCCCCAUCUGGUUUCACAUUCACUGAUCCUCAUUUCUUGGGUAAUUUCAAUUAUUAUAACUGGACAACAAAUGCUGGUGCAAGGGUGGAAAGUGAUGAUGAUUGUCUUGUUCUCGUAUUCCCAAGCGUUGGAACUUCGUAUGUUGAUGUUCGAAGUUGCACCAUAAAAGGGAAAUUGCAAGCGCUUGGACUGUUGUGUGUAAAAGAUGCGUGGACUGCAUGA